rnacentral:rRNA from 1 species
UACGAAGGGGGCUAGCGUUGCUCGGAAUCACUGGGCGUAAAGGGCGCGUAGGCGGCCUGUUAAGUCGAACGUGAAAUCCCCGGGCUCAACCCGGGAACUGCGUCCGAUACUGGCAGGCUUGAAUCCGGGAGAGGGAUGCGGAAUUCCAGGUGUAGCGGUGAAAUGCGUAGAUAUCUGGAGGAACACCGGUGGCGAAGGCGGCAUCCUGGACCGGCAUUGACGCUGAGGCGCGAAAGCCAGGGGAGCAAACGGGG